rnacentral:lncRNA from 1 species
AUCCCUUUCGAUUUUUUUGUUUAUUUCAUGGUCAGUUUUCCGACGUUCUAAAAGUUUAAAACUGGACUUGGUCCAUUUGAAAUGAGUAUUUUUUUUACAUACAGCAUUCCGUUGAAACUCCAGUGUGCCUGGAUUGAUUUACUCAAAUAUAGUUGCCAGUCAGUUUUCCUUUUUUUUUAUAUAUUAUUUUGUUUGGUUUUCUAGUGUUA